rnacentral:rRNA from 1 species
CGCCAAAAAAGUAUACAGGCACAAGCUUCAAACUUAAAAGACCUGGCGGUACUCUAAAUAAACCUAGAGGGGCCUGUCUAGUAAUCGAUAAUCCACGAAAAACCCAACCUCUUCUGGCCAAAUCAGCCUGUAUACCGCCGUCGAAAGCUAAUUUUUCAAGAAAUAUAAAGCUAAAAAGUACAGUUAACUAACACGUCAGGUCAAGGUGUAGCAUAUGAAGAGGAUAAAAUUGGCCACAG